AGUCCAAUAGUUUAGUGGUUAUGACGUAUCCUUCACAGCGCGACGCUCGGAUAAGAUCCCGGUUCGAUUCCGGGUUGGACUA